rnacentral:misc_RNA from 1 species
GAUGAAGAACGCAGCGAAAUGCGAUAAGUAAUGCGAAUUGCAGAAUUCCAGUGAGUCAUCGAAUCUUUGAACGCACAUUGCGCCCUUUGGUAUUCCGAAGGGCAUGCCUGUUCGAGCGUCAUUAUCACCCCUCAAGCCCUCGGCCUGGUGUUGGACGGUUUGGUGGAGGCCCCCUCGGGGGCUCCUGCCCCUCCCAAAGACAAUGACGGCGGCCUCGUUGGACCCCCGGUACACUGAGUUCUUCACGGGACACGUAUCGGACACAUGGGUUUACGGGACACGGUCUGCCUCCCCUCAGGGAGAAUCUUUCUAAGGUUGACCUCGGAUCAGGUAGGGAUACCCGCUGAACUUAAGCAUAUCAAUAAGCGGAGGA